UUUCGAAUUAGAUGGCGUCGCACUGCAACUUUGUGAGACUUCACAUUAGGUGCGUUUUAGGCAAUUAACUCAUUGAAGACACCGUGCGAGAGGUGCUGAGAGAGAAAUAAAGCCGAGCAACUGUGAAACCGAAUGUCGUGCCGUUAUUUUCCUUUACAACUCUCAAAAGAGCCAAAGUUUUUCCAGGUUUUUUUUCCCAACGUCGUCAGAAAAGGAAGAAACCGUCAUCGCAGCCCAACGUGAACAUUCUCGUGACAUAGGCAGGCGAUCAAUGCACUUUCAGGAUCGAAUAUGGUAGUUUGUCUGGUGAAUCGACCGUCAUGUGUUUUGCAGAUUUUUCUGUGCUC